AUUGAACGCUGGCGGCAUGCUUUACACAUGCAAGUCGAACGGCAGCGCGGGCUUCGGCCUGGCGGCGAGUGGCGAACGGGUGAGUAAUACAUCGGAACGUGCCCAGUAGUGGGGGAUAGCUCGGCGAAAGCCGGAUUAAUACCGCAUACGACCUGAGGGUGAAAGCGGGGGAUUUUCGGACCUCGCGCUAUUGGAGCGGCCGAUGGCAGAUUAGCUAGUUGGUGGGGUAAAGGCCUACCAAGGCGACGAUCUGUAGCUGGUCUGAGAGGACGACCAGCCACACUGGGACUGAGACACGGCCCAUACUCCUACGGGAGGCAGCAGUGGGGAAUGUUGGACAGUAGGCGAGAGCCUGAUCCAGCAAUGCCGCGUGUGUGAUGAAGACCUUCGGGUUGUAAAGCACUUUUGGCGGGAACGAAAAGGACUGUGCCAAUACCACGGUUCAAUGACGGUACCCGCAGAAUAAGCACCGGCUAACUACGUG
rnacentral:rRNA from 1 species